UAUAUUGGAUAUUUGCCCUCUAAGGGA
rnacentral:misc_RNA from 1 species